rnacentral:rRNA from 1 species
GACGAACGCUGGCGGCGUGCUUAACACAUGCAAGUCGAGCGGUAAGGCUCCUUCGGGAGUACACGAGCGGCGAACGGGUGAGUAACACGUGAGCAAUCUGCCCUUCACAUGGGAAUAACUUCGGGAAACCGAAGCUAAUACCGAAUACGACCACCGAUGGCAUCUUCUGGUGGUGGAAAGUUCCGGCGGUGAAGGAUGAGCUCGCGGCCUAUCAGCUUGUUGGGAGGUAAUGGCCCACCAAGGCGACGACGGGUAGCCGGCCUGAGAGGGUGACCGGCCACACUGGGACUGAGACACGGCCCAGACUCCUACGGGAGGCAGCAGUGGGGAAUAUUGGACAAUGGGCGAAAGCCUGAUCCAGCAACGCCGCGUGAGGGAUGACGGCCUGGUGU